rnacentral:misc_RNA from 1 species
UUUCCGUAGGUGAACCUGCGGAAGGAUCAUUACCAUAGAAACCAGGCCUAGCCUGGCCUCUUCUAUUACCCUUGUUUUUCGAGUACCAAUGUUUCCUUGGUGGGCUUGCCUGCCAAUAGGACAAACUAUAAAACCUUUUUAAUUUUCAAUCAGCGUCUGAAUAAACGUAAUAAUUACAACUUUCAACAACGGAUCUCUUGGUUCUG